GCGCCCCUUUUCGUGGCGGCGGUGCUCCUUUUGGUACAGAUGUCCCAUUUGGACCACCAGGUCCUGACAUGCUCCCGACAUUUGUCAAUUGGAGUACCUAUGGAGCUGUGACACCAAUACAAGAUCAGGGAGACUGUGGUUCGGGCUGGGCAUUUGGUGUCACCGGUCUCAUAGAGGCAGCUCACUUCAUACGAAACAAGGAGUUAAUAAAACUUUCUGAGCAACACCUGAUAGAUGGAAACAACCUCAGGAACUUUGGAUGCAAACAUGGAUCAUGCUCCGAGGCCCUAGACUACAUUAUGAGAAACGGUGGAAUUAUCAAUGCAGAAAGUUACCCAUACAAGGAAGCCCA
rnacentral:misc_RNA from 1 species